UACGAAUUCGUAGACAUAAUAUCAUUAGGUGCAGAAUCACAAUUGUCCUUUCAAUCAUACAUAUUUGGUUCAUAACAUACGGGGCAUAGAGUAAUUGGAGCAUAUCAGAAACGAAUGAAACGUUUUGGAGCAUAACAAUAACAAAUGAAACAUAUCGGAGCUUAUCAAUGGCAUAUGAAAUGUUCAGGAGCAUAUCAACAGCGUAUGGAACAUUUCGAAGCAUAUCAACAAUGAAUGAAAUUUUUCGGAGCUUAUCAAUAUCACAUACCAAACAGAAGCUCAAACGUCGUCUUUGACGUUGCAUUCAUAUCAUUCUUAUCCAAAGCAUGUACAAAAACACAUAACCAAAGCUCUGGAUAUCAUAUCAAACAUACAGAAGGUGUAGUGGGAUCUCAAACAGAAUUGUGAUUCAUCCAUUUCUGAAUGACCACCAGACAUAAG
rnacentral:lncRNA from 1 species